CUUACCGCUAAAAUUAUUUUUUAUAAUUCUAUAGAUACAUAAACGUAUAUGAUUUUAGCUUUUGAUGCCAUGGCAUUAGAUUUAACAUUAUGUACCAUAUUGUGGAAUUUAAAUGACAAUGUUUAAGGUAAAAGCAGAAAAUAAUUGGUAUUAAUACGAAUGGAAUAAUAAACAUCUUUGUAAAUAUAUUAACCAACACAUGUCUUUCAAAAAUAUACAUAUUAUAGAUAAAUAUUUAAACAGCUGCUAACAGAAUUUUACAAUAAAUACGCUAUAAGACCGACACCAAAUUAAAAGAAACUUAUAAAAACUAAGUAAAUAAAUGAAACAAAAAACGUACAAUUACAUUUUGUCUUAUUAUAAUUUAAUUGGCGAUGAUCUCCGGCGUAAUUGAAAUCGCACAUAAUAAAAAAAUAAAGAAACAGAUAAAAAUCUUUAGUGAACGUUAGUUGAUUUUUAAGUGAAAAUAUGGAAUUAUUCACUCUCCUAUCUCUCCCUUGCAAAUUUGAGAAAUAAUUGUCAUAACAUUAAAAUUUAAACAGUACCUCUCACAAGGGAUGAAACUCACAAUUGAACAAUUACAAUAGAACACAUACAUAAAUAUAUAUGUAUAUUCGGUAUAACUUCCACUAUAAUAACGAUAAUAAUUAUAUAUAGUACCAGCAGACCGCUCCGGCUUCGCACGGGUUUAAACAAACAUUUCAAAAGUUAUAAGUUUUUACACACUUAUAUACAUACAUAUGUAUGUACUUUCCCGUUUCUUGCGUGGGUUCAUUUUAAAAAAGUGCAAUGAGGAAAAUUCGAACAUGAAAUUAUAUUUUAUUUGCAAUGAACUAAAACUUGAUUACGACCUGUAGUCUUUGGUGUCCGUUGUCUUUCUCUUUGAUUAUGAAGGCGUUGGGAACGCUCAGAGUUCGACGCCCUAGUGCGAGCUUGUAUAUUUCUAAUAUACUGCAAAAAAUAUAGCCUAUGUGGACCGAUUUCAUUUGUAUAUUGUAAAGCGAAAGCAAAUUCGAUGAAAGUCAAACCAUAUUUUAUAACAUGGGAAGUAAGCGUGCCAGCCUCGAAAUCCAAUACAGAAUCACUCUUACCAACAAAUGCUAUUUUGGACUGAGUAGGCAAUUGGAAAUUAAAUUCCUCACUCGACGAACAAAAACCAAACUCUACAUACCUGCGAAUACCGCAGACGAUGGAACGAUAAGCUGUACGAGCUAUUCAACGUCAUUGACUUAGUUAAGCGAUAAGAAAAUAGCACCUGCGCUGGCUUGGUGAUGAUGUUCGAAUGGACGAAAGCGCUCCAGCUUUAAAAGUGCUUGCUAAAUUGUCAAAAAAAAAAAUUAUUAGGCACUACUAUUAUGGUAUUCAUUACUAGACUAGACUACUACGUUUUCUUCACAUAUUUGGACUACAUGUGUUUGCAGUGCCAGUAGUUUUAUUGACGGGCCUUAUGGUAGGUUUUAACUAGAUUCACUGUAUACACGAUAAAUAUGCAAAUAAAUGGAUGUAUUGUAUUUCAUGCAUAUUAGCACUUUUAUAUUCACAUACAUAUUUAUGUAUAUUUACUUGAAGCAUGAAGCGAUAAAAUGAAAUUUUAUAUUCUUUUGUGAAUCAGUACAGUAUAAAUAUAGUAGAACGUCACAACGUUGUGACGACAUACUGAAAUUCGCAAACACCAGUUUAAUUUUUCCAAAAGCUAUUAUUAAAAUAAACAUAAAUACCUACAUCUACAUAUAUAAUACAAAUAAGAAGUUAUAUUAAAAUAUUUAUAUGAGAAUCAUGAAGAAACAGCUCUUGUAUACACUCUUAAAAACGUUUGGUUAUAGUGGUAAAACGCUAAUGAUGACACCAAAAAAUGUGAUCGUUAUCACAGGAUGUGAUUCUGGUUUAGGACAUUCAUUAGCACUAUAUUGCCAUUCCUUGAAUAUGACGGUUAUAUCGGCUUGUCACAAUGUCAACUCUGAAGGUGCUCGCCUAUUACGAAAUGUCAAUCAUUCGCAACGCAUGAUUACCAUCGAAGUAGAUCUGCUUAAGGAGGAUACAAUUACAUGUGCCUUCCAUUAUAUUGCAAACUUAUUGCGCACCAAUAGAGAAUACCAAUUCACAGCAUUAGUAAACAAUGCAGGCGUUAUGUGUUUUGGGGAAUUCGAAUGGCAAACUUCAGAUCAAUUCGAAAUGCAAAUCAAUGUAAAUGUGUUGGGUGCAAUGCGUCUCACCAAAAAAUUAUUACCGUUGGUACGACAGCAUCGCGGACGUAUAAUCAAUAUCACCAGUCAUUGUGGUCUGCAGGCACUUCCAGCAUUGAGCGCAUAUGCUGCUUCCAAAGCAGCUUUGCGUUUUUGGAGCGAUUCCCUGCGUAUAGAAAUGCGACAGUAUGGGGUUGAAGUUAUCAAUUUCAUUCCUGGAUCUUUUGUACAAUUUAGCAAUAUUUCGGCAAGACAACAAGAUCAUGCAAAGGUGAUGCUAGAAGCGUUUAGCGACGAACAACGCCAACUUUAUAGUGCCUAUUUUAGGCAAUUCAACAACUAUCUGGAAGUAGUUUCGGGUUACAAAUCACCAAAUCAAUUUCAAGACAUAAUUUUGCUCCGUAAAUUUAAAGCUGCUUUAACGGACAGCAUUCCCCAAACAAUGUACAUACACGAGCCUUGGCGCUUAGGCAAGUAUAUACAGGUAAACAUAUCGUCUAUCAAACCCACCUAUGGAAUGUGCAUCUUGCUGUUAAUCGAAAAAUAAUUUAUCCAACAAAUUUUAAAACGGUUCCGAAAGUGUAUAGUACUUUAUGAAGGACUUUGUUUAUUUCUAACAGAACCUCCAAUUAGCCAAAUAUUAAAUUUCGUUUCGUUCUUCGGAUGCUAGUUACGUACAUAUAUAUUUACACAAUGUACCGGGUUCUCUUUCACAUCUGUCCUACACCGAUAGUGGAUCUGUUGACUGUAAGAUUCUGCGCUAUGCCGACUUAUAAACACGUUAAGAAAUCGUCUCAAUAGAAAAG